rnacentral:rRNA from 1 species
UGGGGAAUAUUGGACAAUGGGCGGAAGCCUGAUCCGGCCAUGCCGCGUGUGUGAAGAAGGCCUUUUGGUUGUAAAGCACUUUAAGCGAGGAGGAGGCUACUUAGAUUAAUACUCUAGGAUAGUGGACGUUACUCGCAGAAUAAGCACCGGCUAACUCUGUG